AUUGAACGCUGGCGACAUGCCUUACACAUGCAAGUCGAACGGCAGCACGGGUGCUUGCACCUGGUGGCGAGUGGCGAACGGGUGAGUAAUACAUCGGAACAUGUCCUGUAGUGGGGGAUAGCCCGACGAAAGCCGGAUUAAUACCGCAUACGAUCUACGGAUGAAAGCGGGGGACCUUCGGGCCUCGCGCUAUAGGGUUGGCCGAUGGCUGAUUAGCUAGUUGGUGGGGUAAAGGCCUACCAAGGCGACGAUCAGUAGCUGGUCUGAGAGGACGACCAGCCACACUGGGACUGAGACACGGCCCAGACUCCUACGGGAGGCAGCAGUGGGGAAUUUUGGACAAUGGGCGAAAGCCUGAUCCAGCAAUGCCGCGUGUGUGAAGAAGGCCUUCGGGUUGUAAAGCACUUUUGUCCGGAAAGAAAUCCUUGGCCCUAAUACGGUCGGGGAUGACGGUACCGGAAGAAUAAGCACCGGCUAACUACGUG
rnacentral:rRNA from 1 species